CAUGAUGAUCGACUUUGCCAUCGAGGCGGAGCGUCGGGAGGGCACCAGCGCGAGAGCUGCGAUUCUCGAGGCAGCCACCGUCCGGUUCCGGCCGAUCAUGAUGACGACGAUGGCGGCGCUCGUCGGCACCCUGCCGAUCGCCCUGGGCCAUGGUGCCGGCGCCGAGUCCCGGCGCCCCCUCGGC
rnacentral:misc_RNA from 1 species